AGUGAGUUUUCCUAACUAAUCUAUGAGAAAUGCUAGCGAUGUUCUUAUAUACAAAAUUAAUGGUAACAAACCAGUUCCGGUUUAAAAUACUAAUAGCAUGAGAAAUGAUAUCUGGUAAAGGAUGAUCAUCACUACAGCCUCUAGCGAUCUAUUUAUUUUAUUUUGGAUCACUUUGUUGGCGAUGAUCAAAUGAUUAAACGGCGUCCCUGUGUCGGGUCGUUAGAUGGACCGAGGAGUCGAGGACAAGCGCAAUAAAACCAUCAAGCGCGUUUUGAUAUUUGAGCUACAAAUCGACUCGUGACUCCGGGAGCAGGGCCCGGUUCGCUGCGGGGCAAAUAACAGUAUUGUGAGCGAACUUUGGGAGUGAGGGGCUCAAGGGGGCGAUGAUUGUACUGCGCCGAGGCAUGGCCUACUGUACCAAAUUUCUUCAUCCAAUCAAGCACUCUAUUACUGUAAUCUCGUCUCACAGCUCAUCAUUUUCUCAUCUGAAGCGGUCCAAUUAUGGCAAAUUCGAUUUCAUAAAAACAUUUCUGAAAACCAUAGAGCCCUCAGUAUGCGGACGUUCUUCCAUAUUCAAAUCCGAUGUACAUAUAGCUAGAAAGUAUCUAAGAAAUAUCUAUUUUUGUGGAAAUAAGUUCAGCAGUGGAAUCAUUUUAGGCACGUCAAUUGCAUAUGGGUCAGUUAUGGCUUAUGCUAUGGAUGCUCAAGAUGCUCUAGUUGAUGAACCCUAUGAAGACUCGCUGGACCUUUCAGAGGAGGAAGAACAUCGGCACCAUCUGUGGAUGCUUGCUAGGAGAUUUUGGCUUCCUGUCUUUCUCUUUCUUACUGUGUUGACAAACUUGGAUGAUCCGAUCUUGCUACUACUCAUUAAAGUUACUUUAUUCCUCCUUAGCACAAAGCCCAAUCCUUACUCUGUCUAUGUUUUCAUUGAUGAGCUUUGCCAACAAUGUAUGCGUCAAGAACCUUCAUUGCAUAAAUCAAAGUCAUUAUAUGCCAGCAAAGUUGAAGUUCAGGACUGUAAGCUUCUCUGUCUGGCCAAUAUUGAAGUGAGGAAUCAGAGUUUCACUUUGGUUGGAGUUCUGGGUAACUGGUGGAACUUGCCACAUAUAAUGCCUCAUGAGGCAUUUUCUUUAAUUAGAGAUAGACUUGGAAGCAUGUUAGUGAAAGCAACUUAACAAGGGAUUUGUUUUGAAUCUUUUGGACAAUCAUUAAACUGAGACAGAAGUUUGCUUGGGUUGGAAUUUAUGGUGGUUAAUGGGAAUUUGCACUUACCGUGGAGUGGAUAAGGCUGAAUGAGCAUAGUUUUUCUUAAGAUGCACUGAUGCAUAUAUCUGAAGACCAUUAUCUAAUGGCUAAUGAGUGAGAAUGCGUCUGUGGACAUGAGCACCAGGAACCCAUUGGAUCAUUCUAAUGUAGCAGGCGAUCAUUUUCUUCAGGGGAAUCGGCAUCUGAUGAAGGGCCACAGAACAUGCCUCCCCAUUGAGGGAAAUACAGCAAGGUCACUGGAAGAGUGCACAGUACCAUCAUAAUGCCCAUCAGAGAUAUGCUUGUUUGCCUUGAGAAUUGGGCCCCUGAAAACAACAGCGUUUGAGUCACCACGGCCCCAACAGUUCCUCCGCUCCCCGUCAUCCCUGAAAUUACUCCAAGCGAUCUGCACAAUGUGGCAUAAAAAUUCAGAGAGAGAGAGAGAGAGAGAGAGAGAGAGUUUGCAAAACUGAGGAGCCGUGGGUAUCUUUUCUUUUUGUUUUAUAUCGUCAUUAGGAAAUUGUGUUCCUACCAUUUAAGAUUGAAAGUCUCGAACUCAUUUGAAGGGUUUCGAAAUUAACACAUUCAAUUUGAAUUAGAAAGGAA